UCUCAGUUCUCAUUCCAGCUCCCUCAACUUGAGGGCAUAAGACAGCCCAAGAGAAGUACCACCAGUUAAGUUCCCACCACAAAAUAGGCAAAAAUUGACAGAACAGAGGAGCCACAGAACGAAGGACUCAGGAGGGAGAUCAUCUGAGCCUAUUUGGGAAGACAUAGUUCUGAGAGGGAAUGAAAAGAGGGGGGGAAAAAUCGGCAUCAACCUGGAUGGAGGGCUGAGGAGGAGGAGUGGUGAUGGGAGGUGCCAAGCUUGAAGAUGAGGAAACUGAGGAGAAGAAAAGGCCAGAACAACAUGAAACAUACCUUCUUCUUCACAUGGAGAAUGAAUUCAGCAACAAUUCAAGCAUAUAAUUCUUCUCUGCACGAAAGAGAUGCUGGACAUCUGCUCACCCAGGAUCUACAGAACAACAGGGCACAUUAACAUGAAGAAACUGAGGAGAUUCUGUGGGGUUCCUCCCAUCGAAUGAUUCAGCUUUAUUAGACACAAG
rnacentral:lncRNA from 1 species